UUUUGCUCUCGUUGCCCAGACUGGAGUGCAAUGGAGUGAUCUCAGCUCACCCCAACCUCCACCUCCUGGGUUCAAGAGAUUCUCCUGCCUCAGCCUCCUGAGUAGCUGGGAUUACAUGCAUGCACCACCAAGCCUGGCUGAUUUUGUAUUUUUAGUAGAGACAGGGUUUCUCCAUGUUGGUCAGGCUGGUCUUGAACUCCCGACCUCAGGUGAUCCGCCCACCUCAGCCUCCCAAAGUGCUGGGAUUACAGGUGUGAGCCAGCAUGCCGGCACAAAAUCUAAAUUUUAAAAAAUGGUACUUCAAAUCCUUUGUUCUUGGUGAUCCAGACAAAAGCAGACACCUUUGGUGAUGUCUACGAAGCUCACAAUAACCACUUCCCUUCUUAGUUGCCCACAGAAAUGCAUUUUUGGUGACUAAAUUUAUACAUACAUGGCCUUGCCUUCUGGCUGUAUUGGGAUGGACCAAACUGGAGAUUGGGUUUCACCAUGUUGCCUAGGCUGGUCUCCAAGUCCUGGCUUAAGUGAUCCACCCGCCUUGGACUCCAAAAGUGCUGGGAUUACAGCGUGAGCGCCACGCCCGGCCUCUCACUGGCAUAGUUUUAAGGUAAAAAUGACUGUUGACCCUGGCACC
rnacentral:lncRNA from 10 species